rnacentral:rRNA from 1 species
ACGUAGGGUGCAAGCGUUAAUCGGAAUUACUGGGCGUAAAGCGUGCGCAGGCGGUUAUAUAAGACAGAUGUUAAAUCCCCGGGCUCAACCAGGGAACUGCAUUUGAAACUGUAUAACUAGAGGACGGGAGAGGGGGAUGGAAUUCCGCGUGUAGCAGUGAAAUGCGUAGAUAUGCGGAGGAACACCGAUGGCGAAGGCAACCCCCUGGACCUGUACUGACGCUCAUGCACGAAAGCGUGGGGAGCAAACAG